rnacentral:rRNA from 1 species
GACGAACGCUGGCGGCGUGCUUAACACAUGCAAGUCGAACGAAGCUUGAUUACGGAUUCUUCGGAUGAAGUAUGAUAUGACUGAGUGGCGGACGGGUGAGUAACGCGUGAGUAACCUGCCCUUCAGAGGGGGAUAGCGUUUGGAAACGAACGGUAAUACCGCAUAAUGUAUUUUGACCGCAUGAUCGAAAUACCAAAGAUUUAUCGCUGAAGGAUGGACUCGCGUCUGAUUAGGUAGUUGGUGGGGUAACGGCCUACCAAGCCGACGAUCAGUAGCCGGACUGAGAGGUUGAUCGGCCACAUUGGGACUGAGACACGGCCCAGACUCCUACGGGAGGCAGCAGUGGGGAAUAUUGCACAAUGGGCGCAAGCCUGAUGCAGCAACGCCGCGUGAAGGAAGACGGUUUUCGGAUUGUAAACUUCUGUUCUUAGUGAAGAAUAAUGACGGUAGCUAAGGAGCAAGCCACGGC